rnacentral:rRNA from 1 species
UUAAGCGACUAAGCGUACACGGUGGAUGCCCUGGCAGUCAGAGGCGAUGAAGGACGUGCUAAUCUGCGAAAAGCGUCGGUAAGGUGAUAUGAACCGUUAUAACCGGCGAUGUCCGAAUGGGGAAACCCAGUGUGAUUCGUUGCACUAUCGUUAACUGAAUACAUAGGUUAACGAGGCGAACCGGGGGAACUGAAACAUCUAAGUACCCCGAGGAAAAGAAAUCAACCGAGAUUCCCCCAGUAGCGGCGAGCGAACGGGGAGCAGCCCAGAGUCUGAAUCAGCUUGUGUGUUAGUGGAACGGUCUGGAAAGUCCGACGGUACAGGGUGAUAGUCCCGUACACCAAAAUGCACAGGCUGUGAACUCGAAGAGUAGGGCGGGACACGUGGUAUCCUGUCUGAAUAUGGGGGGACCAUCCUCCAAGGCUAAAUACUCCUGACUGACCGAUAGUGAACCAGUACCGUGAGGGAAAGGCGAAAAGAACCCCGGCGAGGGGAGUGAAAAAGAACCUGAAACCGUGUACGUACAAGCAGUGGGAGCACCUUCGGGUGUGACUGCGUACCUUUUGUAUAAUGGGUCAGCGACUUAUAUUCUGUAGCAAGGUUAACCGUAUAGGGGAGCCGCAGGGAAACCGAGUCUUAACUGGGCGUUAAGUUGCAGGGUAUAGACCCGAAACCCGGUGAUCUAGCCAUGGGCAGGUUGAAGGUUGGGUAACACUAACUGGAGGACCGAACCGACUAAUGUUGAAAAAUUAGCGGAUGACUUGUGGCUGGGGGUGAAAGGCCAAUCAAACCGGGAGAUAGCUGGUUCUCCCCGAAAGCUAUUUAGGUAGCGCCUCGUGAAUUCAUCUUCGGGGGUAGAGCACUGUUUCGGCUAGGGGGUCAUCCCGACUUACCAACCCGAUGCAAACUACGAAUACCGAAGAAUGUUAUCACGGGAGACACACGGCGGGUGCUAACGUCCGUCGUGAAGAGGGAAACAACCCAGACCGCCAGCUAAGGUCCCAAAGUCAUGGUUAAGUGGGAAACGAUGUGGGAAGGCACAGACAGCCAGGAUGUUGGCUUAGAAGCAGCCAUCAUUUAAAGAAAGCGUAAUAGCUCACUGGUCGAGUCGGCCUGCGCGGAAGAUGUAACGGGGCUAAACCAUGCACCGAAGCUGCGGCAGCGACACUAUGUGUUGUUGGGUAGGGGAGCGUUCUGUAAGCCUGCGAAGGUGACCUGUGAGGGUUGCUGGAGGUAUCAGAAGUGCGAAUGCUGACAUAAGUAACGAUAAAGCGGGUGAAAAGCCCGCUCGCCGGAAGACCAAGGGUUCCUGUCCAACGUUAAUCGGGGCAGGGUGAGUCGACCCCUAAGGCGNCGAUUGACGUUACCCGCAGAAGAAGCACCGGCUAACUCCGUGCCAGCAGCCGCGGUAAUACGGAGGGUGCAAGCGUUAAUCGGAAUUACUGGGCGUAAAGCGCACGCAGGCGGUCUGUCAAGUCGGAUGUGAAAUCCCCGGGCUCAACCUGGGAACUGCAUUCGAAACUGGCAGGCUAGAGUCUUGUAGAGGGGGGUAGAAUUCCAGGUGUAGCGGUGAAAUGCGUAGAGAUCUGGAGGAAUACCGGUGGCGAAGGCGGCCCCCUGGACAAAGACUGACGCUCAGGUGCGAAAGCGUGGGGAGCAAACAGGAUUAGAUACCCUGGUAGUCCACGCCGUAAACGAUGUCGAUUUGGAGGUUGUGCCCUUGAGGCGUGGCUUCCGGAGCUAACGCGUUAAAUCGACCGCCUGGGGAGUACGGCCGCAAGGUUAAAACUCAAAUGAAUUGACGGGGGCCCGCACAAGCGGUGGAGCAUGUGGUUUAAUUCGAUGCAACGCGAAGAACCUUACCUGGUCUUGACAUCCACAGAACUUUCCAGAGAUGGAUUGGUGCCUUCGGGAACUGUGAGACAGGUGCUGCAUGGCUGUCGUCAGCUCGUGUUGUGAAAUGUUGGGUUAAGUCCCGCAACGAGCGCAACCCUUAUCCUUUGUUGCCAGCGGUCCGGCCGGGAACUCAAAGGAGACUGCCAGUGAUAAACUGGAGGAAGGUGGGGAUGACGUCAAGUCAUCAUGGCCCUUACGACCAGGGCUACACACGUGCUACAAUGGCAUAUACAAAGAGAAGCGACCUCGCGAGAGCAAGCGGACCUCAUAAAGUAUGUCGUAGUCCGGAUUGGAGUCUGCAACUCGACUCCAUGAAGUCGGAAUCGCUAGUAAUCGUAGAUCAGAAUGCUACGGUGAAUACGUUCCCGGGCCUUGUACACACCGCCCGUCACACCAUGGGAGUGGGUUGCAAAAGAAGUAGGUAGCUUAACCUUCGGGAGGGCGCUUACCACUUUGUGAUUCAUGACUGGGGUGAAGUCGUAACAAGGUAACCGUAGGGGAACCUGCGGUUGGAUCACCUCCUUACCUUAAAGAACCUGCCUUUGUAGUGCUCACACAGAUUGUCUGAUGAACGUAAAGAAGCAAGGCGUCUUGCGAUUGAGACUUCAGUGUCCCCUUCGUCUAGAGGCCCAGGACACCGCCCUUUCACGGCGGUAACAGGGGUUCGAAUCCCCUAGGGGACGCCACUUGCUGGUUCGUGAGUGAAAGACGCGUGCCGAACUAUCUCAAAACUCAUCUUCGGGUGAUGUUUGAGA